rnacentral:rRNA from 1 species
GACAGAGGCCUCGAGCGUUAGGCGGAAUCACUGGGCUUAAAGCGUGUGUAGGCGGAUCGUUAAGUGCCUUGUGAAAUCCCACGGCUUAACUGUGGAACGGCUGGGCAUACUGGCGGUCUUGAGCCAUCUAGGGGCGACUGGAACAAACGGUGGAGCGGUGAAAUGCGUAGAUAUCGGUUGGAACGCCAAUGGUGAAAACAGGUCGCUGGGGAUGAGCUGACGCUGAGACACGAAAGCCAGGGGAGCAAACGGG